rnacentral:rRNA from 1 species
UACGGAGGGUGCAAGCGUUAUCCGGAUUCACUGGGCGUAAAGGGUGCGUAGGCGGUCAGGUAAGUCUGAUGUGAAAUCUCUGGGCUUAACCCAGAAAUGGCAUUGGAUACUAUUUGGCUUGAGAGUUGGAGGGGGGACUGGAAUUCUUGGUGUAGCAGUGAAAUGCGUAGAUAUCAAGAGGAACACCAGUGGCGAAGGCGAGUCCCUGGACAACUUCUGACGCUGAGGCACGAAAGCUAGGGGAGCAAACAGG